UACGGGGGGGGCAAGCGUUGUUCGGAAUUACUGGGCGUAAAGGGCUCGUAGGCGGCCAACUAAGUCAGACGUGAAAUCCCUCGGCUUAACCGGGGAACUGCGUCUGAUACUGGAUGGCUUGAGGUUGGGAGAGGGAUGCGGAAUUCCAGGUGUAGCGGUGAAAUGCGUAGAGAUGUGGAGGAAUACCGAUGGCGAAGGCAGCCUCCUGGGCCAACACUGACGCUCAUGCACGAAAGCGUGGGGAGCAAACAGG
rnacentral:rRNA from 1 species